AUUGAACGCUGGCGGCAUGCCUUACACAUGCAAGUCGAGCGGCAGCGCGGGGGCAACCCUGGCGGCGAGCGGCGGACGGGUGAGUAAUGCAUCGGAACGUGUCCUCUUGUGGGGGAUAACCAGUCGAAAGACUGGCUAAUACCGCAUGAGCUCGCAAGAGGAAAGCGGGGGAUCCCAAGGGAAACUGAGGGACCUCGCGCGAGAGGAGCGGCCGAUGCCCGAUAGCUAGUUGGUGGGGUAAUAGCCUACCAAGGCGACGAUCGGUAGCUGGUCUGAGAGGACGACCAGCCACACUGGGACUGAGACACGGCCCAGACUCCUACGGAGGCAGCAGUGGGAAUUUUGGACAAUGGGGCAACCCUGAUCCAGCCAUGCCGCGUGUGUGAAGAA
rnacentral:rRNA from 1 species